AGACUACAGCUAACGGAGUCCUGACUGGAAAACGACGCAGGAGACUCACAGCACUCGACCUCCAUCUCAAGCUGCUGCCGGGCUUUUAAACACAACAAGCCCCUAAAAAACACAGAGACUUACGAAGAGUUUCUCCGGAGAAAACAAACCGACUCUGCUUUGAGGGCUUUUCAGCGGAGCGAGACAAACCUCAUGAUGAGUGUCCGCUGAGCAGCCAUCACCACGGUGGGACACAUCCCAGUUGGGGGGUUGCGUCAUCACCGUCAACUUCAACAAAAAAGAUCGGAUAUUUCCCUCGCAGCGCAGUCACGGACUCUUCACAGAUUAUAGAAGCGAACACGUUGCAAAGCUUCAGUCAGUCGCAGAGUUUGAUGAAGGACCAAAACACUGGAACCUGCUGCAGCACUCCACACAGCAUGUUUCAGCAGGAGAACAUGGAUUCACCUGCAGAGGAGGAUCUCACCUGUCCUGUCUGCAGGGACGUCUUCAAAGAGCCUGUCGUCCUGUCAUGCAGCCACAGCUUCUGUAGAGACUGUCUGCAGAAGCGCUGGACAGACAGACAGACACAGGAGUGUCCACUUUGUAAGAGACGGUCAUCAAUGACCAUUAUUCCACCUGAUCUUACAGACCUGCUGCUGAAGGAGCUGACAGAGGAGAACUUCAGCAGCUCCUCUGAGUCUCUGCAGUCUGCACAGUGAGCAGCUCUUCAGUCUGGACCAUCAGCAGCCGGUGUGUCUCGUCUGUCUGCACUCAGCGACACACACGGUGCACAUAUGUCAUCCGUCAAUGAAUUUGCACAUGAUGACUGGACUUGGACUUCUGCAGCACUUUCCCGUCUACUGACCGCUCAAAGCUGCUUUACAACACUUGUCAGUUUCACACAUUCACACACUGAUGGCGGAGGCCGCCAUGCAAGAUGCAAACUGCUCAUCAGGGAGGAGAGGGAGGGAGGGAGGGGAGGUGGGGAUAGGAGAGAGGGAGGAGAGAAAGGAGGAGAGGAGGGGAGGAGGGAAAACUCUUUCUCACUGGCUUUCCUUUCCUCUCAAUUUACUUCUUCUUGUCAUUGAAAUCACCAUCUUUGCUCACAGGAGAACUUGGAUUCACAUCCUGAUGUGACAACCUCCACCUGAACACACAGGACGACUUUAAAGUCAGAACUGAAAGCUGUAAUACAGCAGAUCUCUGCACCUGCUGGCAGGAACUUCUUUGCAUCUUUCUGUGUUUAAAAGUAAAACGACACACUCAUAUCAAAAAGUUUCAAGCAGAAGCUUGAAAAAACCAACCAAACAAACCUUACUGACAGUUUGUCCUUAUUAGGAGAGCACAAUAAUACAUUAGUUUAUAUUAAAUCUACGUCACAGAACAUUAGCUUAGUCCUGUGAACUGAUACAAGUCAAUGAGGUGAACUUUAUAAAGCUCCUUCUACAAAGUGCUAUAAGUUAAUUUACACAUUCACACACAUAUAUUCAGGAAACAGAUAUGAACCAAAAACAGCGUCUGUCACACAAAUUCAGUCAGUCAGUCUGUUAACUGAUGGAUGAAUGAAUGAAACCAUCUCUGACCACAGUGAGUGUGAACGAGCUCCUGGAGGAGGAGAGGGGAUUUUCUUACUCCCCAAUAACACAAGAAAAUCAUCUUUAUUUUCGUAGGAAGAUAAUUUAUUUAUAGUUUAUGAUCAUCUUAAAUAUCAUAUAAAUAUAUAUAUUUACUGAUGACAGUGCAAACAAGUUUCAAACAUUGUUCAUCUCUCAGUGCGUUUACAUGACAAACAAGAAAACCUAAUUACUGGGUUAGUCCGACUAUGACCGUAUUUUUAAGGUGUAUGUAUACACCUUAGUCUGACUAAAAUGGGACCAAAUCGGAUUUCUCAUAAUCGGAUUAAUACACACAGAUUAUUCGAUUGAUAGUUGCAUUACUCCUGCAUGUAUACUCUCCAUCAGAUCGGAUUGAAUUUUUGUGCUCUGCGCAGGCUCAAGUUGUUUUUUUUUUCUUUACUGGGGCGUGAAGCGGAAGAAGAAGGACGGCGGCGGCGGCGUCUUUCCUCUGAAAUCACUGCAAGCAUGAGCGCCAUUGUGCAUUUAUUUAAAGUAAUUAUCAUGUACACCAUAUACGAAGUGCUAAAGUUUCUUGAAUGCCGAGGCAGCUGGUGAUGUAAAGAGGUCAACCAGAGGUGUUUCUGUUACCACCAGAUGAAAUGGGUACAGCACCACCUAUAUCGUACCGGUAGCGUACAUGCUUCAGCCAGUAAUUUGAUUUUCUCACCUGCACGUAUACUCAACAAUUGCAGCUGUCUGAUUGAGCAGCAGAGUCGAACUAUAGCUGUAAUCUGACUAAGCUGUGCAUGUAAACACACUGACUGAAGUCACAGUGAGGAUUUAACAGUCAGCAUCAAUGACAGAUUUACAGUCAGGAGACAGCGGAGUGAUCGAAGGCACCACAGAAGAGUUCUGUUCACUCUGACUUGGCUGAGAAACAGAUCUGUGCUGCUGCUUUACAGUAACAUCAAUAAUAUCCAGUAGACUUCAUCAUGAAUUAAAGGCAGUGAAACAUGUUAACAAACAAAACAUACAACAGGUUCUGUGCAAUUUCAUUGGAAUGCAAAUGAUGGAAGAGAAGGAAUUUUUCUAUAAAAAGUCUUAGAAGUCUCAUUCAUGUUUGUAACAUUCUCAGAUAUUAAAAUAAUUUUUUGUUUUGUU